GAGGGGGUGACAAAGUCCGCUGUUGCGUGUGCUGCGUCGCCCCUUCAUCCUUCUGUUAACGUUUCUUGGUAUUCAGUUACUGGUUUCGGGCUCAGAUAUUUUACCUUGAGAAAAUUAGAGUGUUUCAGGCAGGCUUGCGCCGGAAUACAUUAGCAUGGAAUAAUAGAAUAGGACUUGAGUCUCCUUUGUUGGUUUGAGGGACUCUAGUA
rnacentral:rRNA from 1 species